rnacentral:lncRNA from 1 species
CUGAAUCUUAAUUAACCAUCCAUUUAGAUGGCUAAAAAUCCAAGAGAAAUCAAAAAUCGACAAGCUAUCAAGCAAGCAUACAAUAACUAAGCUAAAAUUAAGCAAGCAUGCAAUAGAGAAAUCCAAUAUAUCACCAGGAAGCAGAAGUUUUCAUUGAGCUUAGUCAAAUUACAAACUGAUUCAACGUAUAAAUCAAUAGAUAAAUGAAAUAAAAUUGAGAGGGGAAGGGGGGAGAAGGUUCUUUAGG